AUGAACGCUGGCGGCGUGCUUAACACAUGCCAGUCGAACGGUGAACACGGAGCUUGCUCUGUGGGAUCAGUGGCGAACGGGUGAGUAACACGUGAGCAACCUGCCCCUGACUCUGGGAUAAGCGCUGGAAACGGCGUCUAAUACUGGAUAUGUGACGUGACCGCAUGGUCUGCGUUUGGAAAGAUUUUUCGGUUGGGGAUGGGCUCGCGGCCUAUCAGCUUGUUGGUGAGGUAAUGUCUCACCAAGGCGUCGACGGGUAGCCGGCCUGAGAGGGUGACCGGCCACAGUGGGAAUGAGGCACGACCCAGAGUGCUACGGGAGGCAGCAGUGGGGAAUAGUGCACAAUGGGCGCAAGCCUGAUGCAGCACCGCCGCGUGAGGGAUGACGGCCUUCGGGUUGUAAACCUCUUUUAGCAGGGAAGAAGCGAAAGUGACGGUACCUGCAGAAAAAGCGCCGGCUAACUACGUG
rnacentral:rRNA from 1 species